AUGAAUACGGAAGAAAGAACUCUGGCAGUUCCACUAAGGUUCAGUUCUCUUAGAGUGUUCUUUCUAGGUCAUAGCACCCAGCUUAUCCUUUGCUCCCAAGUCUUUUAUGUUAGAAGUGGGACUAAUCUAUUGUUUUCUCCUUCUCUUCCACCCCCUUCCCCCUCAGGUGAAAUAGUCACAAAUGGAAUUUCAAGAAACAUUCUAUAUACACUGCCUCUAGGACUGGGACAGAUAGCCACUGAGAACCUGCUUCAAAUCACCUUGCACAUUUUCUUGUUGAAAAGAUAACCACUGGAGAACCAUCUCGUUACCUUCAGCAAAAGCGGAAAUAAAUCAAGACAUUUAGAAUGCCACAGCGGACAGCAGUGGUUCAGCAGAGGAAGUUUACAAGACGAUGUGCCACACUAGCUAGAAAUCAGAAAAGAUUGAAGCUAGUCUUUUUAGCUCAGCUGCUCCUUAAAUCAGUGCAACCCCUCCAAAUUAAUGUGAAUUAAAACACGCAUUGCCUUUCAACUUAAUUCAGUACUUACUAUGUGUGAACCACUGCACAAAAUAGGGGAAGAAAAUGAGGGCGACAAAGAUGUGGAGCCUGUCUUCAAUGAAUUUAGAGUUAGUUUCAGGGUACAUUUUUUUUUCUUCUGCUGUUGAUUAAGUGUAUCCCUAAGACAAGAAAUAAAUGAAUGGAAAAGUAUAUUCUGUAAGUGUUUUAAGUCUCUUUAAUAAAAAACAAAACCAAACAAAACCCCCAAAACUCCUAACAUGGGCAACUCAGGACAUUUUAAUCCCCCUUUUUUUUGUUGGACUUCUGAUAAGAUCCAUUUUAUUGAUUCUAUAACUAUUUAGUAGACUUUAGAGAUAUUAAUACAUUGUAGUUUGAGUUAACUUGCAUUAAAUUCUAUUUUCUCCUCUUAGGUAUAGAUUGUCUGUUGGAAAAAUGUAUUGUUUGUGGAUUUCUUGGGGAGUGAGGAGGUGAAUUUUACCUGUUGUCUCUAUAGUCCACUACCUUCCAUGCCCCCUAGGGCAGCGGUCCCCAACCUUCUUGGCACCAGGGACCAGUUUCCUGAAAGACAAUUUUUCCACUGAUGGUGUGGAGGAUGGUUUUGGGGUGAAACUGUUCCACCUCAGCCCAUCAGGCAUUAGUUAGGUUCUCAUAAAUAUGCAACCUAGAUCCCUCACAUGUGCAGUUCACAGUAGGGUUUGCACUGCUAUGAGAAUCUAAGGCUGCCACUGACCUGACAGGAGGCAGAGCUCAGGUGACAAUGCUUACUGGCCCACCUCUUGCUGUGCCGCCUGGUUCCUAACAGGCCAUGGACUCCCACAGAGGACCCCUGGUCCACAGCUUGAGGACCCCUGUCCUAGGAGCCUGCCAUUCUGAGUGAGUUAUUAGCAUGAAGAAGAGGAAGAUUUGGUCAAACGUGGUUGGUGGUGCUCAGAGAUCCAAGAUAGGACAGGGAUGGAACAAAACCCAUCUGGGCAAUGGCUCUAUGAAAAUUUGGCUAAGUAAUUAUUUCAGUAUUCAUUGUAUGGUCCUUUGUGUUCCAUAAGUUUAAUGACUGUCCAGUUUUUCCCAAAAUUUAUUUCUGACUUGAGUAUAAGUGUGUCAUGAUUUUCCUAGUGUAAAGACACUGAUAUAACUGUAGACACCAGACAUUUUAUGUAGUGUCUGUGACACAUUUUGGUAUGUAUGAGCCAACAAUAGACACGUCUUUGUCUUGAGGAGUGUCCAUCUGAAUUGAAAAUGUGUCAGCUUUUUUUUUAACAUCAUCAACAGACUUCUUAAUUAAGCUGCCAAUACAUACUGCCAAUAGCACUGUGUGCUGUCUGAGAAAUGCAUUGUGUAAGUGCUAUUUCCAUCUUAUUAAAUAAACAAUGUUGCUCCAUAUAAACUGGAUUUAAAGUGUUCUUUGAAUGAGGGAUUAUAUUGCUCCAUAAAUAAUGUGAUGAGAAUUCUCAUAUUAUCCCUUUUAAUUUAAUUUCUAAAAAAAUAUUAUUUGUUCCUCAGUAAAGAAUAGCUCUAAUUGGACUGGUAACUUUAAUGAUAUGAUUCAUCCAUAACAGGCUGAAUCGCCUCA
rnacentral:lncRNA from 1 species